rnacentral:tRNA from 1 species
GGAGGAGUGGCCGAGUGGCUUAAGGCGUUGGUUUUGAAAACCAAUAAUGUUUUUUAGCAUUCUAGAGUUCGAAUCUCUACUCCUCCU